GCAAGGGUAGCUCAGUCAGUAGAGCAUGAGACUCUUAAUCGCAGGGUUGUGGGUUCAAGCACCAUGCUGGGCA